GUGAGAGAGCGCUUUUUUGUUGUUGUUGUUGUGCUAAGCUAAAAGGCAGAAUGCUACAGGCAUGGCCCUAAAGAAUGUAGCCUGAUGGGCAGUGUAGUCCGUGCUGCAGGGAGAAUGGACUACCAUACCCGUUAUGUGUCUGUGAGCGAGGGAGGGAGAGAAAGGAAAAGUCCGAGCUGUCACGGAACAAAAACGGGAGCUGGAAGCAUGUAAAUAUAAUAAUAACCACUGCAGCCAAGAAGAGUGCCUGACGAGCCCAUUUGUCAAAGAGCAUCUCGGAGCUGUCACUGCCUGCUCGCCACACAGGAGGAAAGUUCCUCCGUGCACUUGCUGUUACCCACAAGGCACCUGGACAGCAGAAAGCAUGUUGUGGUGGUGCAGCAGCUGACGUGAGGCAAAGACAAUCAGCACCUGGUUCUCAGGAGAGCGGAGUCUGAAGCUGCCCCGGUGAUGGAGACAGACGAAAAAAAGGGGACUUUCUCCAAAGAUGGGACCACCCAGGAUUUGCAUACUUGAGGUUUUUACUUUGCUUUUCUUUCUUGCCUCUACUCGACGCUGUUGCCACGUUUUCCCUGGACCAGACUUCUGGCACACCUCGCACUCCCGCUCCUUAGUCACUGUCACUGAAACACAAAGAACCCAACAGAGAGCUGUGUCCUGUUCCAGACUGUCUGACCUCCAGUCCCUGGAAGCCUUCACCACCUUGCAAUAUUUGCAAAUAGAAUAUCCCCUUACUCUGCUGUGGAGCCAGAGCCCUUAUUUUGAACAACCAC
ensembl:lncRNA